CAAGGUUAAAUAUUUAAGAUAUGGAGCCGUAGCGAAAGCGAGUCUGAAUAGGGCGCUUUAGUUAGUAGUAGUAGACGCGAAACCGGGUGAUCUACCCAUGGGCAGGUUGAAGCUGUGGUAACACAUAGUGGAGGACCGAACCAGUUGACGUUGAAAAGUCUUUGGAUGACCUGUGGGUAGGGGUGAAAGGCCAAUCAAACCCGGAAAUAGCUCGUACUCCCCGAAAUGCAUUUAGGUGCAGCGUUGAGCAAAAGUUUUAUAGAGGUAGAGCUACUGAUUGGAUGCGGGGGCUUCACCGCCUACCAAUUCCUGACAAACUCCGAAUGCUAUAAAAUGUUUCUCAGCAGUGAGGGCAUGGGUGCUAAGGUCCAUGUCCGAGAGGGAAAGAACCCAGACCAUCAGCUAAGGUCCCCAAAUAUAUGUUAAGUUGAAAAAACGAGGUUUGUCUGCCCAGACAGCUAGGAUGUUGGCUUGGAAGCAGCCAUUCAUUUAAAGAGUGCGUAACAGCUCACUAGUCGAGCGGACGAGCAUGGAUAAUAAUCGGGCAUAAACAUAUUACCGAAGCUAUGGAUUAACGUUGAAAGACACGUUAGUGGUAGGGGAGCAUUGUAACCUGCGUAGAAGGUGUGCUGUGAGGCAUGCUGGAGUGGUUACAAAAGAAAAUGUAGGCAUAAGUAACGAUAAUGGGGGCGAGAAACCCCCACACCGAAAGACUAAGGUUUCCUCAGCGAUGCUAAUCAGCUGAGGGUUAGUCGGGUCCUAAGGCGAAUCCGAAGGGAGUAGUCGAUGGAUAACAGGUUAAUAUUCCUGUACUUCUUAUAAUUGCGAUGGGGUGACGGAGUAUUGAAAGCACCGCGAACUGACGGAAUAGUUCGUUGAAGACUGUAUCUAUAAGAUCUGUAGGCAAAUCCGCAGAUUUUGGAGAAGGUUGAUAGUACUACAAAGCUUCGGCUGCGUAGAUAGUGUGCCUAAAAGCUUCCAAGAAAAACCUCUAAGCUUCAGAUUAUAAGAACCCGUACCGUAAACCGACACAGGUAGUUGGGAUGAGAAUUCUAAGGUGCUCGAGAGAUUCAUGGCUAAGGAACUAGGCAAAAUAGACCCGUAACUUCGGGAGAAGGGUCGCCCAUCUUCGGAUGGGCCGCAGUGAAAAGGUCCAGGCGACUGUUUAUCAAAAACACAGGGCUUUGCUAAAUUGAAAGAUGAUGUAUAAGGCCUGACACCUGCCCGGUGCUGGAAGGUUAAGUGGAGUUGUUAGCUUCGGCGAAGCAGUGAAAUGAAGCCCCAGUAAACGGCGGCCGUAACUAUAACGGUCCUAAGGUAGCGAAAUUCCUUGUCGGGU
rnacentral:rRNA from 1 species